rnacentral:rRNA from 1 species
GUCGAGGGGUAUAGUUCUUCGGAAUUAGAGACCGGCGCACGGGUGCGUAACGCGUAUGCAAUCUACCUUUCACAGAGGGAUAGCCCAGAUAAAUUUGGAUUAAUACCUCAUAGUAUAACGACUCCGCAUGGAGAUGUUAUUAAAGUCACAACGGUGAAAGAUGAGCAUGCGUCCCAUUAGCUAGUUGGUAAGGUAACGGCUUACCAAGGCUACGAUGGGUAGGGGUCCUGAGAGGGAGAUCCCCCACACUGGUACUGAGACACGGACCAGACUCCUACGGGAGGCAGCAGUGAGGAAUAUUGGACAAUGGGCGCAAGCCUGAUCCAGCCAUGCCGCGUGCAGGAUGACGGUCCUAUGGAUUGUAAACUGCUUUUGCACAGGAAGAAACAACGCUACGUGUAGCGUCUUGACGGUACUGUGAGAAUAAGGAUCGGCUAACUCCGUGCCAGCAGCCGCGGUAAUACGGAGGAUCCAAGCGUUAUCCGGAAUCAUUGGGUUUAAAGGGUCCGUAGGCGGUUUAGUAAGUCAGUGGUGAAAGCCCAUCGCUCAACGGUGGAACGGCCAUUGAUACUGCUAGACUUGAAUUAUUAGGAAGUAACUAGAAUAUGUAGUGUAGCGGUGAAAUGCUUAGAGAUUA